AAUGUAAUUUUUAUGGGCAGGCGGUGGAUGCCUUGGAAUAUCGAGGCGAUGAAGGACGUGGGGAGUCUGCGAUAAGUCUCGGGGAGGUGACUCUCAACCUUUGAUCCGGGAAUUUCCGAAUGUGCAAACACAUCCUGGUGAUAAAUCAGGAUACCGAGCAUAUCAAUGAUAUGCUCGGAGCGAACCUAGGGAAGUGAAACAUCCCAGUACCUAGAGGAAAAGAAAACAAAUAGUUUAUUCCCUUAGUAGCGGCGAGCGAAGAGGGAAGAGUCUAAACCUAUUUUUUGCGCAAGCAAAGAAUGGGGGUUGUAAGGGGGUAACGUCGGGGGCAUUCUUGGGACUAAAUUCCAGGAUUGUUCUUGAGGGAGUAAUUAGACGAAGUCUGGUUAGAAGAAGUACCCUGGAAAGGGACGCCAUAGAGGGUAAUAGCCCCGUAUUUGAAAAUCACUUCGCGCUCCUUGUUAUCUUACUUAAGUACCUCGAGGAAAGAACGCCUUGAGGGAAGCAGGCCGGACUAACCGGCCAAGACUAAAUACUACGAUAUUUCCGAUAGUGAACCAGUACCGUGAGGGAAAGGUGAAAAGUAGGCCGUUGAGGCCGAUGAAAUAGAUCCUGAAACCGUCUUGCUCACAACGAGUCAGAGUCCCGCUUCGGCGGGAUGAUGGCGUGCUUUUUGCAGAACGAACCAACGAGUCCCGACAGUUUCUUUGUUUAAACCCCUCUGGGGUGAAAGCCAAGCGAAAGCGAGCGUUAAUAGCGCACAAUUUCAAGAAAUUGUUGGGGACCCGAAGCCAAAGCGAGCUUACCAUGAACAGGAUGCAUCCCGCCGAAAGGCGGGAGAAGGUCCGAACCCGUGAGCCGUUCAACACUCUGGGAUGAUUUGUGGUAAGUAGUGAAAAGCUAAUCGAGCUUGGUAAUAGCUGGUUCUCUCCGAAAUAGCUUUCGGGCUAGCUCCUCCAUCAAUACUCGGAGGUAGAGCACUGAAUGGACUGCCUUGAGAUUUUCUCAGGUAAUUCAAUCAAACUCCGAAUGCCGAGUUUAAAAUAGUGGAGGAAGUUGGACUGUGGGGGCUAAGCUUCACAGUCAAAAGGGGAAAAGCCCAAACCUUCAUCUAAGGUCCCUAAAUUGAACUAAGUGUUUAAGGAAGUGAAACUCCAUUGAUAGUUAGGAGGUUUGCUUAGAAGCAGUAAUCCUUUAAAAAGUGCGUAAUAGCUUACUAACUAAGGAGUUUUGCGCCAAAGAUUCACGGGACUAAGUUCAAUACCGAAGGUAAGGAUUUCACCAUUUAUUUGGUGAAGUGGUAGGAGAGCGUUCUUAGCGCUGCGAAGCCGAAGGGUGACCGACGGUGGAGUGCUAAGAAGUGAGAAUGUUGGUAUGAGUAACCGCAAUUAGGGUGAGACUCCCUAACACCGAAAGUCUGAGGUUUCCUUGGCAAUGGUGAUCAUCCAAGGGUUAGGCGGAGCUAAGUCUUGUCCCGAAAGGGUCAGAUGAUGUACAGCCGGUUAAUAUUCCGGCCCUCCAGUAUUUUUCUGAAGAGUGACGCGGUUUUGUAGGUCGGGCGAAUUAUUGGAUUUUUGUUUCUGAGGCGAGCAGCCUCGGGAAAAUGUUUCCCUUCGGGGAGGCAGAUCCGACCGAAAAGACUGACUAGAAAAGCUCGUAGGGUUAAAAAUACUGGAUCCGUACCGUAAACCGACACAGGUAGACCGGCACAAGUGUGCCCAGGUGAACGGAUGAAACUUCGUUAAGGAACUAGGCAAUAAAGCGUCCGUAAGUUAGCGAUAAGGACUGCCCUUGUUCGAAAGAACAGGGGUUGCAACAAACGUAUCCCCGAGCGACUGUUUACCAAAAACACAAGUCCCUGCUAAACUCGCAAGAGGAUGUAUAGGGGCUGAAGCCUGACCAGUGCUGGAAUGUCAAAGUUGUCGGUGUUUGCGAGCAAUCGUAAACGCUGAACGACCAAAGCACCAGUGAACGUCCGCGGUAACUAUAACCGUGUUAAAGUAGAAACAUACGCACUGCUUUAGUAAAAUCUGGCUAUAUGCUGGAAAAUCUGUCGUAUCCGGCGCUACUCUGGUAUAAUAAAGUAAGGAAUAAUAAUACCUUAUCAUCAUGCCAAGUGACAAAGCGUCCGGUGCAGACAAUCAGCAGGAAAGACUAAUUAAAAGUAAAUUUAAUUAGAAUCCUCAGAGACCAUACGCCAGACCCCGCUAGGCGGGGAAGAUAUGGCCCGAACUUCAUGGCGACAUGAAGAAUUCCAUUAAAUUAAUGGAUCUAACAAAUUGAGCGUAAUCCCUUGCCGGGUAAGUUCCGGCCCGCAUGAAAGGCUUAACGACUUGGGGACUGUCUCAACGAAGCGUCCGGUGAAAAUGCUAUGGGGGUGAAGAUGCCUCCUACCUGCAGCAAGACGAAAAGACCCCGGGAGCUUUACUGUAGCCAGAUAUUGAGUUUUGGUUUUUGAUGCGUAGCGUAGUGGGUAGACUUUGAUGUCCCUUUUUCGGAAGGGGCGGAGUCGCCAAUGAAACACCCAUCUUUGAAAACCUUUAUUCUAACUUUGCCUGCAAUGGCGAACGACAGUGUUUGGCGGUCAGUUUAAGUGGGGCACUUGCCUCCUAAAAAGUAAUGGAGGCGUUUAAAGGUCGGCUAGCUCCGGAUGGAAAUCGGAGUGGUCCUGUAAAGGGUAAAGCCGGCUUUACUGCAAGGCGGAUGUGCCGCGCAGUUGGGAAACCAGAACUUAGUGAACCGAUCAUUUUUAUUAGAAAAGUGAAAGAUCAUCAACCAAAAGUUACCCCGGGGAUAACAGGCUAGUAGAGCCCGCGAGUUCAUAUCAACGGCUCUGUUCGGCACCUUAUGUCUAAACAUCGGGGCGCCAUGACAGUAAUGUCAUAUUAAAAAUCUAGCUUAUAACGGUGGACUCCAUAUGGUACAAUGAACUAAUAUUGUAUGGA
rfam:Candidatus Nealsonbacteria bacterium RIFCSPHIGHO2_02_FTLL_43_13 rifcsphigho2_02_scaffold_53911, whole genome shotgun sequence.